rnacentral:rRNA from 1 species
UACGAAGGGGGCUAGCGUUGCUCGGAAUCACUGGGCGUAAAGCGCACGUAGGCGGAUUGUUAAGUCAGGGGUGAAAUCCUGGAGCUCAACUCCAGAACUGCCUUUGAUACUGGCGAUCUUGAGUCCGGGAGAGGUGAGUGGAACUCCGAGUGUAGAGGUGAAAUUCGUAGAUAUUCGGAAGAACACCAGUGGCGAAGGCAGCUCGCUGGGACGUUACUGACGCUGAGACGCGAAAGCGUGGGGAGCAAACAGG